CUUCAGUGACUUGUCCCAGCUAAACCACGGCACCGACAACAGCGGGGAGGGUCUCAUUUUGAAGCUAAGAGUGUGAGGAAAAGAGCGCCAAGAGAAACGGAAAUCAGAGAGGAAGAAGGCUCGGAAAGGCAACAAGGAAUUAUUUUAUGGAAAAAACAACUUGAUAUUUUUUUUCUGUGAAUUAUUACGGACUUAUUGAGUACAACUUUUCAUAGAUUGAACGCGUUUUGGACCGACAGAACCGGCUCAAAUGCUAACUGCUCACUCCUUCUGAGUGAACAAAGAGCCUCCACACUGAAGGCGCCCAGGGAUUACAUCACAUGCCCCACCACAAGUGUGCACAGUGCCCUACUGCCGGUCAGUUUAAUGGACCAAUGAAAGUCUCCUCCUCUAUCCACAGUCACUUGUUGGGCCUUAUAAAGGUGUCAGUGACAGCUUCACAGACUGUACUCUCCUGCACAUUGAGGACCUGGACUUCCUCGAGUGGCUCCUGUCUGUGUGGAAUCUGCUGCAGUCUGAACAUCUGUCUCCAAACAACAUCUUCACUUCUGACGAACAAUGAAGGCAAGCAGAGAGAUCAACAUCCGUGUCACAACACUGAGCUGUCUUUCUGGUGCGAGGGAGUUUCCAGAGCUCAACUCCAUCGAUGAUCUGAAAAACAAUUAUGAUUAUAGAGAAAAUCCUUUUCCUAAACAUGGCUUCGGUCUGCUCCAAGCACUUGCGUACUCAGUUAAUAUCGACAAUGAUGACAAUGUCAAUCCGGAUGAAACUUAUUACCCAGAACAACAUUUUGGUUCCCAUCCUUACAAUAACGAAGAAAAUUUGCUGGACCCCGUCCCUGAAGGUUGCACUUACUGCACUAUGGGUAAUCAUACGAGUAAUGACACAGACCCCAUUAUGAACAGAGCUCGCAUUAUCCUUUGUGUAAACGAAACAAGCUGUCAGAUCCACCAAGUGUAUUUCACCCAACAUUAUAAAUGGGACGAGAGCAGGCCCCAAAAUACUGAGUAUGACCCAAACCACACCUAUAAAAUAAGCCCUCAGCUGCUCAAAGAACUCCGAACGUUUUCGUUUGAUGAAUGGAAGGAAAAAUGGAUGAAGUGGUUCCCUGAAGAGGUUGAGGAACCGGUACAAGCAGAGCAUAGAGAAUAGGCAGUUAAAUAAGAUUAUAAGAAGAUGCUCCUCCAGAGCUGCUUACAUCAUUGAUCAAACAUUUUAAAAGGAUGAACUGCAGUUAUGGCACUGCACUUUCCACAUCUGAGUGGCAAAGAGAUUUCAUAAACAUCAUAUUUUGUGCAUUUUUUACUUAUUUAAUCAAUGAAACAGAUUAAUAUAGCCCACCCCCACCCAUGUAAUUAAUAAUACUAAUGAGGUUCCAUUCUCCAUAUGAAAUUAUACAAAACUCUAUGUCAGAAUAAUUUUAUUAUCCCAUAUUUGCUAAAUACUUGUGUGAUAUUCUAUGCCUAUGAGUUAACCAUUUAUGUAACUACAAUUCUUUGAUUUAUAAUGUACCAAUCACUUAUAUAUUUAUAUAUAUAUAUUUCUCAAGUGUUUUGUGUAAAGUGUGAAGUUUUGACUCCUUGUAUAAAAAUUAAAAUGUAAAUUAGUUUGAGAUGUGGUAAGAACCUUUUAACUCUGAAAAUUCAAGUUUUAGUAGAAAUUUCUACAUGCAAAAAGAAUAAUGCAGACCUUUAAAUGCAGAGAAAAAGCAGUAUGUUACUCUGAGACAUUUGGACAUUUGGAAAGGUGUUGGAAAUAUGUGAAUACAUUUUAAUCAUAAUCCAAUAGUUUUAUUCAGCAAUCAAGUAUUUUUUUUAGGUUAUUUUGUGUUCAUCUCAAAUUUAAAAUCCACCACCUGUAAUGUAAAUGAUGCACUUUCAUUGUUAGGUAAUGAUGUUGGAUUUUAUUUUGAUUUUCUGUUGGGGGAUUUUACUUUCUAUAGAGGCUUUGCACCGUUCACGUGACCCGUAUAGCAACAGUACCUACGCCGCCAUGACACCGGGCAACACUAUGUCAUUGACUUCAGCAGCAUCGGAGAAACAUGGGCAGGUUUUGUUGUGUAUUUGGUUGUUCUAGACCAGGGGUGGGCAAACUUUUUGGCAUGGGGGCCACAUAGGGUUCUAAAAUUUGACUGAAGGGCCGGACAGAAGACGGGACAUGACGUGUUCAGAACCCGGCUCCAUUGCACUCGUAUUUACUCUCAUGUAGGACGUAUUCUGCACAACGCACUGCAAGUUUUAGACAUGUAAGUUCCAGAAUUCAUGAAAAGUGAAAUGAGGUCUGCCCCACUGCACACCAAAGACAAACAUGUGUCCCGAGCACUCAGAGUCUAAGUGCUCAGGACACUAUGUCUAUGUCAUUAACCAUUCUAACGCGCAGUUUAAACACACCUUCAAGACUUUCUAAUACAGUGAGUAUGAAUUUUAUAACUUUGUUUUUAAAAGAUUUAAAGCGGAAACAGUGCAGUGUUAUGUCUUGAACACUUUUACCUCAUUCAUGGUUCCGAAUACACCGCCCGAAAUGACUCCUGUCAAUUCUUUCCCAUAAAGCAUUGCGGCCAACAGAAGCCGCCGCACCUCAAUGUAUAUAUAGUGCGCCAUCUACCGGGAAACGCCGGAAAUGCAAGAAAGAUAAAACAGCAGUACGGUUUAUUUAUUAUAAUUUGGUCAAGUUCUGUGGGUCAGUUUGAAUGGCUGCAUAAGGUCACCGGGCACUAAAUAACUGGAUACAGUAUUGCUGCUUGUAACUGCCUCCAGUUGACGUAGUGUCACUCACUGGAACUUCAGCAGAAAAAAUCCCAUGGGCCGAGACAAGACUUUUUCUCAUAGAGGCAAUGUAAUCACAAACUGCUCGUGUUCGUCUGACAGGUCAUUUACAGCUUUCAAAAAUAUCGGAUUUGUUGGCGAUUUUUACCUAUUUUUAGAUCAUAAACUUUCUCAGCUCAAAAUCCUUCAGUUGUCUUAAAAAAAACAGUUUAAAUUCGUUAGCUUCGGCUACGCUCUGCUCCGCUUUAGCUCCUCUCGCUCUGAUUGGUCAAAGCGAUCACAUGACACACGAGCCCGCGCACCGUGCGUGUACCCGCGGGAGAAAAGAGCACUAGUGCGCAUGCUCGGUCGGCCCACAGCCGCCGGAAGUACCAUGCUAGACUAAUCUGGGAUCAUGCGCCAUUGACCUCAGCACAUUAAUUUGAAUGGGCGGCCAUUUUGGAAUAUGUUGGGCUUGACAAUGGCUCAUACCGCCCUUUUCUUAGCAAAUAUAACAGGUGUUUACACCUCUGACCGCGCCACAUUAGUGGAAGUGAUACGUGGUGCAUAGACCACCGUCACACAGAGUAGUUGCAGUGCACUUACUUUGUAAAACAUGUUACCAAAUAUGAUAUAGAGCAGCGCCAAGAUUUAAUUUGUACACAUAAAUUGUAGACUUAGUGCAGUCUUAUGUCUUUAACACUUCUACCUCAUUCAUGGUCCGAAUACGCCGCCUGAAAAUGACUCCUGUGAAUACUUUCCCAUAAAGCAUUGCGGCCAACAGAAGCCGCCGCACCUCAAUGUAUAUAUAGUGCGCCGUCUACUGGGAAACGCCGGAAAUGCAGGAAAAAUAAAACAUUAACAAGGUUUAUUAUUAUUAUUUAUUCAAGUUCGGCGGGCCGGAUUAAAAGGUUUAAAGGGCCGUAGUUUGCCCAUCCCUGUUCUAGACGCUCUGAAAGGGAUAAAACGAUUAGUUUCUUCACUGUUCCUCUGGAAAUGGCUCAUCAGGAUCAAACAAGGGAAUUAUCGGGAAAAAAAUGGGAAUUAUGGCUAGAGAACAUAAACCACGAAGAGAUUUCCAAUGGUCCCAUCAAGACACUCGAAGUUUCAUCAAGGUAUUUGCUAUUUAAAUAGUUUCAUAGCUUAUUUAAUGAGAGAAGCACAUUUACUGAACUAAAAUGUAAAAAGAAAACAUUUGCAGUGUGAGUGGCAGUAGAAACUGGAUCUUCCAGCGCACAUAUAAACAUGUCACUCAUCGUAGGACCCAUGUUUUCUUUAUUGUCUUGCUUAACCACAACUAUGUCUUCUAGAAUUAAUCACUUUUUGCGAGCGGAUCUUUCUAAUGUUCGCGAGGAUCUUUUUAUGACCGAUUCUUUCGAGGUUCGGCUCACAGACUCUUCGACUCGUGCGUCAUGUUGAUCACAGGAGCCCAGUGUGGGUUCGUUAAAUCGUAAACUAGUGCGGGUUUUCCUGGAUAAAUUAAUGAAAUUUUUGUGGAAAUCUCUUCGCGGUUUAUUUUUGCUAGCCAUAAUCCGUGUCUUUUUUUUCGAUAAUUCCCUUGUUUGAUCCUGAUGAGUCAUUUCCAGAGGAACAGUGAAGAAACGAAUCAUUUUAUCCAUUUCAGAGCAUCUAGAACAACCAAAUACACAACAAACCCUGUCCAUGUUUCUCCGAUGCUGCUGAAGUCAAUGACAUAGUGUGCCCGGUGUCAUGGCGGCGUAGUUACCGUUGCUAUAGGGGCCACGUGACGGUGCAAAGCCUCUAUUCAGUUCUUUCCUAAAAUCUGCUUCAUGUAAUAAAAGUCAAGUGUGUUUUAUGUUUAUGUCACCACUGCAUGUAGAUUAUGUGGAAUGUUCUGUGAUUGCAAUAAAAAGACAAAGACAUGAUUA